rnacentral:rRNA from 1 species
CGUGGGUAACCUGCCCAAGAGAUCGGGAUAACACCUGGAAACAGAUGCUAAUACCGGAUAACAACAGAUGAUGCCUAUCAACUGUUUAAAAGAUGGUUCUGCUAUCACUCUUGGAUGGACCUGCGGUGCAUUAGCUAGUUGGUAGGGUAACGGCCUACCAAGGCGAUGAUGCAUAGCCGAGUUGAGAGACUGAUCGGCACAUUGGGACUGAGACACGGCCCAAACUCCGUACGGGAGGCAGCAGUU